CGCGCAGACCCGCCACGUAUGUCGCACGUGAGGCAGGCAGUGGCUAAAAAUAGAUGUCACCGAUAACAGCUCCCGUCGUCCUAUUUCUGGAGAAGGAGAUUUCACUCUUAGCUAUCCUGGACCCUCGUUUUGGUUCGGUUCGGGAUCCAGCUGCAGCGCACGACAGCGCGCAGCUGGAUCCGCGCCAUCCUCACAAACGCAUAAUUUAAUGGCCUCCUUCAUUUCUGAAACAUGGAGGGUCUUUACGCCACCAUGACAGUGAAAGUAUUCUGGGAUUAUUUGAUCCUCCAGGACAAAAAAUAGGAUGAGAAUGAAUGCAAACCUCUCUAAGUCAAGAGGAAUGCGUCAGAAUGGAGAAAAUUUUGAACAUUUUCCUUCUCCUGUGGGGAGUAAUCAGUCUUACAUGCGAUGUUUCUGAUAGAUGAAGUCUGCCUCUUCGGGAUGACUCAGCCACUUCUCCAUCUUCUCUUUAAUCACUGGCUCCUGAUUGGUAAUGACCUGAAGGAACCUACGAGCUACCAGAUAAUCAGAGAUAAAUCACUAAUGUCCACCUGCAGGGAGCGUUAACUGUUCCCCUAAAAGAAAUGGUCCGUGGCUCUUCCAUAUUGUGUCUCCAGUUUAAUUUUCUUGACCCUGAAGGUGUGUGAAGCAGAUGAAACGGGGGGAGAGGGUUUGUCAUCUCUGCAGCACACCAGAUGAGUGAGCAGAGCCCUCAGAGCAACCAGGAUUACAGCCUUCCUCUGUCAAAAUGGGAGCCAGGAUGUGGCAGCAUUGUUCUGAAGAUGGAGGACAUAUAAAGGAAAUUUAUUCAAAUUGUGAAUCCAGAGUGAAUGAAAAAUGUCUUUGGAAAAAGCUUGAAGUUGUUACGAAAAAUCUAAAACCGGCAGGCCUCAAGCUCCACUCCAUUAAGAUCCAUUUAUUUGCAAAAAAAUAAAUAAAUAAAA